ACUUUUAGUAGAGACGGGGUUUCACCGUGUUAGCCAGGAUUGUCUGGAUCUCCUGACCUCGUAAUCCACCCACCUGGCCUCCCAAAGUGCUAGGAUUACAGGUGUGAGCCACGGCGCCCUGAGGACUGGCAGACCCAUCUGACUUUCUUGGAGUAGAGGAGGAAGAGGAGGAAGAAGAGGUGCAGGAGGAAGACCAGGGUGUGGCUGACAUCUAGCUGGAUGCAGUGGAUGAUUCUGGAGGACCUCUUGCCCUUCUCCUUCAUGACCUGUAGGGCAGGGCCAAGAGGAGGAAGCAGCCUCAGAACAGACAAAAGACUCCCUGCCCCAAACGGCAGUCAUCCCACAGUCAGCACUUCUGGAAGGAAGGAAGGAAGGUUUCCUUCUGCAGAAAGCUCCUUUUUACCUUGUUUCUGACACCAGGGAGGGUCAGCAGAGCCCAGCGCACCUGUGGUGCCUGAGUUACCAUCUAUGCCCAGGAUGUGCG
rnacentral:lncRNA from 1 species